CCUGUGUCUCGCGCCCCGGCGCCUCCCGGGCUCUUCCCGCGUCAUCUCGGGGAGCGCUCGGCGCAUGGAGGAGCUCCCGGAUUUUGAAAGAAGUGCUGCGAGAGCAGAGAUGCAGAAGUGACUCCAUCUGCCAUCUAUCCAGGAAACUAAGAGGUGACUGAACUAGAUAUUGAAGGAUGAGCACAUGUCUUGUUAGCUUAAGAAGAGGAAAACAACAUUGCUGGCAGAAAUAAGAGCAUAUGUACACCAUCUAAGGAUUCUAGAAGCUCUACACCUUUCUGUGGACCCGUUUUGUAUUCCUGAAACACUGAUGAUAUUGUGUCACUCCCUUUUUCCAAAAUUUAGCAUAGCUGUUACUAUCUGAGGAGUAAAGGUCAAAUUCUUCAGCCUGCCACACAAAACUGUAUAUUUUUUACGUGAUGAUGAAAAUACUUAUAAUUAAAACUAAUCCCUGGAGUCUCUUCCGAUCCCUCAAAAUAUAAUAAAUGAGAAAUGACUUUUUAAAAAUU